CCAGACUCCUACGGGAGGCAGCAGUGGGGAAUAUUGCACAAUGGGGGAAACCCUGAUGCAGCAACGCCGCGUGAGUGAUGACGGCCUUCGGGUUGUAAAGCUCUGUCUUCAGGGACGAUAAUGACGGUACCUGAGGAGGAAGCCACGGCUAACUACGUGCCAGCAGCCGCGGUAAUACGUAGGUGGCGAGCGUUGUCCGGAUUUACUGGGCGUAAAGGGAGCGUAGGCGGACUUUUAAGUGAGAUGUGAAAUACUCGGGCUCAACUUGAGUGCUGCAUUUCAAACUGGAAGUCUAGAGUGCAGGAGAGGAGAAUGGAAUUCCUAGUGUAGCGGUGAAAUGCGUAGAGAUUAGGAAGAACACCAGUGGCGAAGGCGAUUCUCUGGACUGUAACUGACGCUGAGGCUCGAAAGCGUGGGGAGCAAACAGGAUUAGAUACCCCAGUA
rnacentral:rRNA from 1 species